rnacentral:rRNA from 1 species
GCAUGCAAGUCGAGCGAGAAAUUUACUUCGGUAAAUGGACAGCGGCGAAAGGGACAGUAAUGUGUAGGUACCUACCCUCUGAUCUGGGAUAGCUGCGGGAAACUGCAGGUAAUACCGGAUAAUGUCUUCGGACCAAAGGUGUGAUUCCGUCUGAGGAGGGGCCUGCAUCCUAUUAGCUUGUUGGUGAGGUAAUGGCUCACCAAGGCAACGAUGGGUAGCGGGUGUGAGAGCAUGACCCGCGUCAUUGGGACUGAGACACUGCCCAGACAUCUACGGAUGGCUGCAGUCGAGAAUCUUCGGCAAUGGGCGAAAGCCUGACCGAGCGACGCCGCGUGCGGGAUGAAGGCCCUCGGGUUGUAAACCGCUGUCGUUGGGGAGGAAAUGCAGGAGGGCUAUCCCUCUUGUUUGACCGAUCCAAG